rnacentral:rRNA from 1 species
AGUGAACGCUGGCGGUAGGCCUAACACAUGCCAGUCGAACGGCAGCACAAUAAGAGCUUGCUCUUACGGGUGGCGAGUGGCGGACGGGUGAGGAAUACAUCGGAAACUUCUUUUUCUUGGGGGAUAACGGAGGGAAACCUACGCUAAUACCGCAUACGACCUACGGGUUAAAGCAGUGGAGCUUCGGACCUUUCCCGAAUGUAUGAGCCGAUGUCGGAUUAGCUAGUUGGCGGGGUAAAGGCCCACCAAGGCGACGAUCCGUAGCUGGUCUGAGAGGAUGAUCAGCCACACUGGAACUGAGACACGGUCCAGACUCCUACGGGAGGCAGCAGUGGGGAAUAUUGGACAAUGGGCGCAAGCCUGAUCCAGCCAUACCGCGUGGGUGAAGAAGGCCUUCGGGUUGUAAAGCCCUUUUGUUGGGAAAGAAAAGCAGCAGGUUAAUACCCCGCUGUUCUGACGGUACCCAAAGAAUAAGCACCGGCUAACUUCGUG